GACAGAGGUGCCGAGCGUUAAUCGGAAUUACUGGGCGUAAAGCGUGCGUAGACGGUUUUGUAAGUCGGAUGUGAAAUCCCCGGGCUCAACCUGGGAAUUGCAUUCGAGACUGCAAGGCUUGGGUGCGGAAGAGGGAAGCGGAAUUUCCGGUGUAGCGGUGAAAUGCGUAGAUAUCGGAAGGAACAUCAGUGGCGAAAGCGGCUUCCUGGUCCAGCACCGACGUUCAGGCACGAAAGCGUGGGGAGCAAACAGG
rnacentral:rRNA from 1 species